rnacentral:rRNA from 1 species
ACUCCUACGGGAGGCAGCAGUAGGGAAUCUUCCACAAUGGACGAAAGUCUGAUGGAGCAACGCCGCGUGAGUGAAGAAGGGUUUCGGCUCGUAAAACUCUGCUGUUAAAGAAGAACAUAUCUGAGAGUAACUGUUCAGGUAUUGACGGUAUUUAACCAGAAAGCCACGGCUAACUACGUGCCAGCAGCCGCGGUAAUACGUAGGUGGCAAGCGUUGUCCGGAUUUAUUGGGCGUAAAGCGAGCGCAGGCGGUUUUUAAGUCUGAUGUGAAAGCCUUCGGCUCAACCGAAGAAGUGCAUCGGAAACUGGGAAACUUGAGUGCAGAAGAGGACAGUGGAACUCCAUGUGUAGCGGUGAAAUGCGUAGAUAUAUGGAAGAACACCAGUGGCGAAGGCGGCUGUCUGGUCUGUAACUGACGCUGAGGCUCGAAAGUAUGGGUAGCAAACAGGAUUAGAUACCCUGGUAGGAUAGCG